rnacentral:lncRNA from 1 species
UUCCUUUGCCAUAGGCUUCUAUGUGACGAAUAAGCCUGAGGUCCUCUUCAUGUGACCAUAGGCGUUUCCCACUUCGCUUUGCAUGCUUCUUGGCUGAAGUCUCUUCCCUUUCCAUGGGGGGCUUGUAGGACGCUUGUAAUGUUUCACAUGAAAUUCCUCCAUACCCCAACAAUUCAUUGAAGAAAUGCAUCGACACCCAAACUGGUAAGCAAGUAAAUGUACAGAGUAACGUGACAGUGAGCUAGCUUCAAGUUCAUAGAGUGGUGUCUGGGAUCCACUCUGGAAAUGUCUAAAUUACUACUACCUAUUUUGGGAGUGAUUCAUAAUGGCACCUGUUCUUCAAAAUUUCCAUCUUAAAAUGCAAACGGUAACUAUCCUGAUCCAACAAUAACAAGAUUGGCUUAUUCAGCAAAGGAAACUCCAUGAACUCUCAUCAGUUAAAGCUCAAUUAGUGUCUCCUGAUUUGUUGGGCCGUUCUUUUUAUAUUUUUGUUCGUUUUUCUUGACGUGAAUCAGUAGGGAGAGGGUCCCUACCCUUGAUAGGAGUGGAGCCUAGGAUUUAGUGUUGCAAUUUGUCAGGCGCUAACCAAUUAAGCUUGGGCUCUUUUCCUCUUUUUUGUUGUUGCACCAAAAACUCUUGAAACUUUGGAGAUUGUUCCUGAGGCUCUAACCAAAGGAAGCAGCUUCAAGGGAGCGUGGAGGGCUUACCAGGGAAGACAAAGAAACACUUGGCGUGGGAACUGCAUACAAGAGAGAGAGCGGGGUUUUUAAACAGACCUCAAAGCACAGAAUUCGAUUUAAUAUUUUAUGGCGGGUCCAGGGUCUUUAUUACCUAUUGUUAUAGAUUUCCCUACCCUCCAAGCAGGAAAUAGAUUUUAUGAUUUUUGAGGGAAAUCUUGGGUAAUGUGUUUUCAUUUCUUGCCAUCUAUAUAUCUACCCAAACGUUGGAAACAACAUAUUUUCUUGUAAUCUAUUACCCAGUAGUAGAAAUACAGAUACUUAAACAGCCCAUUAGGAAACUCAUAUUCGUGAUGGACUGGGCCAUGUUACCAUAUGAU